AUUCUCACUUUGGCAGCACAUAUACUAAAUUUAGAAUGACACAGAGAUGAUUGGCAUGGCCUCUGGGCACAGAUGACAUGCAAAUCCAGGAUGCUGGUGUACGAGUGUAACCAAAUUUGU
rnacentral:snRNA from 1 species